rnacentral:pre_miRNA from 1 species
ACGUUUGAUCGAGCUUUAAAUAGUAUAAUUUAAAGCUAUUAAAGCUUAGAUUAAACGUCU